AAAAAAAAAAAAAAAAAGAAGCAACCUUCCGCAUAUUGAAUUUCAAAAAUCACUUUUAUAAUUUGGUUAUUAAUUUUCUAAUUAUAUAACUUAUAUAUGUAGUUGUUCAUUUUAUAUAAUUAGUUAUUUAUGCUUAUGCUUUGCCACUGAAUGUUAAAAGAAUAGAGAAGUAAAAUUUUCAAAAUUAAAAAUUCCAUUCCCUCUUAAUUUUUACAUAAAAAAGCACUAAUGGGUUCUAUGCGGAUCAAAAUAAUACAUUCAACGAUAUGCAAAAAUAAAUAAAUAAAUAAAAAAUAAAAAAUAAAAAAAAAUGAAAAUCACUAUCACGUGUUGAUUGACGGGUAAGUAAUCUCAAUCUUUGUAAAGAUAAGAAUACAACUUUGAUUUUCGAAAAGCACAACUUAUUAGGAGGAUCAAAAACUUUACAAUCUACGGCUACUCUAUGGCUGGAAGGAGAAUAUUCCUAUAUAUUGUCUUCUUCUUAAAAUAUAGAUUUUUUUAUGACCAUUGUUUUGUCUUUAAUAUAAAUUGUUUUGAAUAUUUUAAAGAGAUAAAUAACGUCUUUUUAAUUUUAUCUUUAUUUAUAUUAGAAAUAAUAUAACUAUCUUCAAAAGUUAGUUUUGAUUUUGAGAGAGUAAUUGAUUUUGUUAUAAUUUAGGAUAAUUACUACUUUUUUUAGUUUCUGUACAAAAUCUUUAACUUAAUUAAAUUAUACUUGAUUUUGUUAUAAUUUAACAUAAUCUUUACCUUAAUUAAAAGUUGCCAUAUGAGAAAAAGUUUCCAUAUAAAUAAACGUCAAAAAUAAAAAAUUUCUCUAUAUAAAUAGAACGGAGGGAGUAGCAAUAAUUAAGCAUUUUACUUUAUUCUAUUUAAGUGCUCAUUUAUGAAUUUGAGAGUAUAUUAAUAAUUUUUUUCAAUUUUAUCCGUCUUGAAUAUAUGAAAUUUAUUUUUGUCUUUUUUUUAUCAUUACUUUAAUUAUAAUUAAAUUAAAAUUUUGAUUUCACACAUAACAAAUUAAAGUUUUUGACUAUAUUAAGCGAUAAAUAAAAUAAAUGGAAGUACUACUCUAACGGUGGUGCUUUAAUAUGAGAUAAAAUUAGCAUUGAUAUAUAGCAAAAUUAAAUGGAAAAUUUUUAAGUUUAGGAAGAACAAUUUAGGUAUGCUUAUAUAUAUAUAUAUAUAUAUAUAUAUAUAUAUAUAUAUAUAUUUAAUGGUAUUCUAAUAAUUUAAUUUUUGUAAAAGAAAUAAAAUUUUCCUAUUAAAAUGUAACAGAGGAAUAAAUAUUUUAUAUGUUUUGCAUCCUUUACAACUUUGAUCAUUCUGUCACUUUUUUGUGCUUUCUAUCAAUACUUAUAAUACUGCUUUGAGAAAAUUAAUUAUUUCGUUCUUAUGUUUUGCUAAAAUCAACUAGUUUAUCUCUACAUUCUUUGUAAUUUUUUUGUGCUUUUUAAUGGAAAAAAGUACAAAAAAAUUAAUGAAAUCUAGAUAUAAAAUAUAGAAAAGAUUUUAGUGUAUUUUAAAAAAAUACAGAAACAAAUUAGUACCUUUUGACAAAAUAAAAGAACAAAGUAGUAAUUCAUUUUAAUUGAAACUCAAUUUAUUUCUGAAAAGUAAUUUAAAAAUAUUUUAAAAAUAUAUUCAUCUUUUGAGAAGAGAGAAUAAAAGCUAACUUUCUUUAAAAUAUUUUAAUUUUUCAUUUAUCUAAAAAAUAUUCUUUAUUAACGGAUUUUUUUGAACGCUUCAAAUAUUGAUAAAAUGUAAAAAAUGUUUUUCAAGGAAAUUACUUUUUAAAAUAGAAUGAAGCCUAAGAUUCUAUUUGAAAUUAGUGUUUAAAAUAAUUAAUUUUUAGAUACACAAAUUAAAGAACAGGAAUGUUCACUUCAAUUCACGUGAAAAUGAAAUUUAAUAUAUAAUACCUCUCUGUCAUAUAAUACAUUUCACAUUUGAAAUUUUAAGUCUCUUAAAAAAAAUCAUUAAAUUUAUUUAAGUUAUAAUAAAUUAUUAUGUAAAUUGACUAUAUUAUCUUUAAUUUAAUAUUAAUUCUUUAAGAAAACUAUGAGAUUAAAGUAAUAAUUAUUGGUCAUGUAAAAAGGAUAAAUAUAAAAAAUAUUUAUUACUCCUUAAAACCACAAAUGUAAUAAGUAUUUUAGAAUAAAUUAUUUUCUAAAAUGUGACGAAUUUUAUGGAAUGAAGUAUAUAUAUGUAUAACUUGGUCGAAACAGAUCUUUGGAUUUACUUUUCUAAAAAAAAAAAAAAAUUUAAUUAAAACAUAUAAAUUGAUCUAAAAAUGCUUUUGUUUUAUUUUUUUUUUAAAUUGGCAAUUAUUAAUGGGUUUUCCUAAGUAAUUUAAGUGCUACGAGCUUAUCGAAUGAUGCUAAAGACAAAUUCAUUUUUUUAAGUGCCUAAGGGAGCCAUAAUAAAUGAAUACGAAAGUAAUCAUCAUUCUCACAAUUGGACCCAGUUUCAUCUGCGAGCUCAUCUUGGGCUGGGUAAUGGGCCUAUGUUUCUUAUUCAGAUGUACGGGUCACUUUCGGAACCAUAAGGCCCAUAAUGACUUGAAUAACCCGAAGGUUCAAAAAUCAAAAUAAAAAUCCUUACAAAAAUAACUACAUUAGUUUCUGUUUGUAACGACUUGGGUGAUCACAUACCAAUUAAAAAUUAAAACUGUAAAACUGAAUUAGUUAAUUGGUUCAAUUUUGAUUUAUAAUUUUAGAUAAUUUUGAUUUCAGCUUUUGAUUCGAUUAUUGAAAAUAAGUUAAUUUGGCUACAAAAUUGAACAAAAACAUUUGAUUUCGAUAGUUUAGAAAAAAAAAAAAAAAAAAAAAAAUUCAAUUUUCAGUUUUAUCGUUUCGAUUUGAUUCAGAACCCAAUCAAUUGAUUGCACAUCUCUAUGUGGAGGUCUAGACAUAUAUAGUUUUUUUUUUCAUAAACAAAUUGUGCCAAAAAAAAAAAAGCUCUUAUAUAUAUUUUUUAUUUCUCAUUAAUUUUUUCUUCCAAAUGAAUAAUAUGUUUCUUUUACUUUUUAUUGAUUUGAUUGUGUAUUUGACUAAUAUGAGAAUAACUUAUUUUCAUACAGAUUAUUUACUUUUUUUUUUUUUGAAUAAAUUGGAUCCUUGUCCAUUUUUGAUUCUACAAGAAAAAUUAGAAUUAAAAUCCUAAGGCAAUCUAGUUGGAAAUGUAAUUAAACAAAUAUAUAAAAACAGAAGCAAGUUUGUUAAUGUAGCAUAUUACAACAUUAUUUUGCUAAAUUCAUAUUAAUUUAUUGUUUCAUAGGAAACUAUCUAUGAAAUUUUUCUCAAUUUAAAAGAAUUUUUUUUGUUUACUAUAUAUCUAUGUUUAUAUCCAUUUUGCUUCUUCUUUUUUUAAUUGAAAAAUUGUAAUGCUUAAUUAUUAUUAAAACUCCUUCUUCCUUGACUAAAGAUUUCGAGUUCGAAUCGUAGGUAUGAAGUCUUUUUAAGUAUCCGGGAGGGACUGCUUCCCCUUUGCAGGCCUAUUCGAUGCGAAUCUGAAAUUAGUCGGGUUAGUAGACUUCAAACACCACAUUCUUAAAGAACCAAAAAGAAAAUAUCAUUAAGAUCUGAAAGCAUUACAUCAUCGAUAAUGGAUGGAGAGCUAGAAGUCCACUCCAUAAAACCAAACACAGAACCAGCUGCUCCUACUAACAAAUGAGCUAUCUGGUUUGCUAAUUUUUCAACAAAAAUAAAGGACAUAAACUCUUUAGCAAGAGUUUUGACAAUCAUGGAUAACUAAGCUAAAUAGAACAAUCAACAGAUAAAUUCUUCAACUCCUAUAUGGCUAUCAAACAAUCUAUUUCAAUAGAAAGAGGAACUUGGUAAUCUUUUUCCUUUAACCAUCGUAAAACCUCUCUGAUACUCAAAACUUCUGCUAGUAAAGAAUUGGAAACAAUGCCCAGAUGUUUCAUACCACCACCCGCACUGAAACCAGCAUGGUCUCUUACCAUCCAACCCGCUCUAGCUGACUUUGAUUGAAUAUAAAAUGAUGCAUCUAUAUUAAUCUUCAACUGACUAGGCGAUGAAGGCUUCCAUUUCAACAGCUUCAUAGAAACCAGUUGUUCUUGUUGGAUUCGAACGAUUCAUAAAUUGAGUAGCCUGCCAAGAACUGAUGAAAGAUUGAGCCCCUGGUCUUUUAUUAUUAAAGAUUACAUUAUUUCGCAUAUUCCAAAUUUUUCAACCCAAGGCAAUUGCUUCACAACAGAUAUCUAUAGUACAUCUGUCCUUUAUCUUUUGAAACCAAUCAAGAAUGGAAGUCAUAGAACCCCACCAGCCUGCAUUUGAGUUUAACUAGUAAUCUUUUGGAAAAUAACAAUCCACCAGACAAUGAAAAACAGAUUCUCUUCAACAUACGUACAGGGAAAAUGCGUGGAACCUCAAUUCUUCUAGACAAUAAAGCACUUCUCGUGGGUAAACUGUACAACAGAGGGCCUGCCACAUGAAGUUUGUUACUUUUGCUGGUAUUUUUGAGACUCCACAAGAAUUUUCAUUCUGCAGAAGGUAACAAAAAUUGAGAAUGCAUCUGCGAAAGGAGAGCUUGAUACCCACUACGAACAAUAUAUAGACCUUUGGACUCCGAAUUCCAAUUCCACGAGUCAUUAACAGCAUAUAGACUCAAUGGAAUCUGCAAAAUCAAGUGCACCUCUGUAUAGCUAAACAAGUCUGCUAAGACAUCAUUAUCCCAUUUCCUUUUACUCAUCAUAAACAAGUCUGUAUAGCCAUUAGUCAUUUCCUUUUACUGAUUAAUGAAUUUGGCCUUGUCAGUAAUCUCCAGCCUGUUUUAGCCAACAUUGCUAUAUUAAACUGAUGGAUUGACCGAAAGUCAAUACACCCUCUUCCUUUUUUCCGUCACAUAGAUCGUUAAGAUAGCCAAUGAAACACAUGUUUUACAAUUAGCAUCAUUUUUCCACCAAAAACGAUUCACAGCAUUUGCAAUUGGAGUAUAAACAUUACAUGGUAAAAGAAAAACAAUCAUCACGAAAUUAGGAAUAGGCAUGACCGGUUAAAUGAACCGCCGGUUCCAGUUCAUUGAACUAUCGGUUUCGGUUUAUUGAACCGCCGGUUUGAGAUGUUUAAAAUUUUAAAUCGGAAUCGACCCUUGAACCUCCGGUUCUGGUCCUGUUCCGGUUCUAGCAUGGUUUCGAUGAAUCAACGGUUCGAAUUACGGUUCCGGUAUUAUACAAAUUUUUAAAAAUAUUUAUAAAAUUUUGAUUCUGAAUUCAUAAAUAAAUAAUAAUUUUAAAAUGUUUAGAUUUUAUUAACUAAAUAAAUUAUUAUAAAAUUUUAAAAGAAAAACUUCCAUUAACUUAGAACUAUUAUUACAUUAAAUUUAUAAAUUUUGCUAAUUCACUAAUAUAGAAAAUUAUAAUUUUUUUUUUUAAUUUUGGGCUUGAAUUAAAUUAAAAUUGAAAAAUUUUAAUUUAAUUACCUAUGUAUAUUCUUGGGAAUUAGAGGAAAUCAAAGCCCACGUAGUUUUUUUUUUUUUUUUUUUACAAUGGAAAAUAACCUCCAAAUUAUUACAAUUAAUUUUAGUCAUCGGUGCCAUUAGUCCCCGUUAUUGAGCCAGAAUCAUCAUCAUCGCUUGAAUUUUGCUGGUCUUAAAUUUUCAACGCUGCUCUAGUGCAAUCGUCAACGCAUUCUUGCAUUUUCACAUUAUUUGGCAUAAUCUUGACCGUGUUGGAUCUAAAAUUUGUCCACCAGCACUAAAAGCUUGUUUCACUGCAACAAUAGAAAUUGGACAAGAAAGAAUAUCGUUUACAAUUGAAGCUAAGACUGGAAAGCGAUUUGUAUGCUUUUUCCACCAACUCAAAAUGUCAAAUUUUGUUGCGUCUUCAUCAGUAUCAUCACCCAAAAACUCCAAAUCUGUGCUAAUAUAUGUCUCAAUUUCCGUGUAUAAAUGUGGAUCCUCUUUUGGUUUUUUUGAAACAUUUUGCAUGAAAUUAAAUUGUGUAGAAUAAAAUUUAGUGGAUUGUGUAAUUUGUGGAUGUAAUACUUGAGGAAGGGGAGAUACUAAUUUAAAAUACUCAUCGUACAAGUGCCAGACAUACCUUAAAACAUUAUUAGUAAGAGAAAAAUAAUAUACUUCAAUAUUAAAAUAUCAUAAUAAAGACAAAAAAAUUAUUGUAAUGCAACUAACUUAAAUCUAGGACAAAGAAACAAUGCAACUAAAUUUAAAUUAGGAAUUUCAAUAUAAUAUUUUUUAACCAUUUAGUUUUCAUCAUGAAUAUACAUUCUUGUAAAUCAUCAUCAUUUUCAUUUUCAAUUAUGGCACUACUUAUGGCCAAACAAUGAAAUGGAAAUAAAUGGGAGGUAGGAUAAUAAACACCAUAAAAAUUCUUGUACAAUUUUCAAAAACUUGUAAAAUAUAUAAUAUUUUUUUAUAAAUAGUCCAAUCGGUUGGAUAAAGUUGAAAAUGUGAUGCAUGCAAUUGAAUUUCAUCUCAUGGGAAUAUCUCUUGAAAAUUUUUUAUAUUUUUUUCCCAUGGAGUGACAAAAAUUUUAAUUUUUUUUUUCUAACAUAUCUAUGUGUCCAUAAAUAAUUUAAAAUAUUUUUUAUUGGACGUAAAAAUUCAUUUAAUGUUGUUAAUGCAUCUUGAACACCUAAAUUUAAAAUAUGACAUGCACAUCAGUGUAAAAAAAUUUUCCACCAAAUUUGGAUUGACAAAUAGUUUUUAAUUUAUUUAUUGAUACCGUAUUUGCACUAGCAUUAUCAAAACCAAUUGUAAAAAUUUUUAGCCAAACUAUAUUCUUCUAAAAUAAUAUUUAACAUGAUAAAAAUAUUAUUGGAGGUGUGAGAGUCAUCAAAAACUCCAAGUGCAAUAUUCUUUUUUAAAUUUUCCAUUUAUUGUCAAUCCAGUGGGAAAUAACACCCAUAUAAGAAUGAGUUUGUGAUGCAUCACACCAAAUAUCACAACAAAUAAAUUUUACCAUCAAAAUUUGUAAAUAUAUUUUUUAAAAUUUCUUUUUCUUUCAAAUAAAUAGAUAAAAUUGUCCUUUUAAGUGUAUUCCUAGAUAUCUUUUUUUGUAAAAGAUUUAAUGUUUUUUUACGAUAGUUAUUAAAUCAAUUUUUUCACCAAAUGAAAAAGAUAAUCAUUCCAUACAAUCCAUCUUAGCCAUUUCAAUUUUAUUAGCUUCAUCACUAUAUUUAAAUAGUGGAGUGUUAGGAUCACCAUACCUUGAUGACAAUAAUUGAGUUUGAGUUAGAUCUAUUCCUACCUCACUUGAAUGAUAUGAUUUUAAAUGCCUAUUAUGAGUGCCAUAGCCUCCUCUAAGCUUGAGUGUAUUUUUUUUUUGCAAUAAUUAUAUCGAAUCGUAUUGAUUUCUCCGUUAUCUUAAACAAUUUUUGCAAAGUGCUUCUUGAAAACAUAUAAUUUUAGUGGUUUACCUAUUGAAAUGUUAGGAGAUGUUACUUCUUGUGAUGGAUGACGACGAAUAUAACGUUCCUCAACUAGAGUUUGAUAUUGAACUUCAUCAUUAAAUUGUAGUGAAAAAUCAAUUAAUGGUUCGUUUGAAUCAAUUUUUUCUACGCUUUGAGUAACUCACUUUCUCUUGGAGGUUUGUGAAUUGUGUGACAUGUUUUUAAAUGGAAUUAUGGAAAAAAAUGAAUAAAUUGAAUAUGAAAUUAAUGGAAUGAGUUGGAAAUUAUUAUUUCCAAAAUGUGAGAAAAUUAUUAAAAAAAAAUCAAAUGAAGUAAGUUUACGAAUGGAAAAAUUGAAAAUAAAAGGAAUUUAAAAUUGGAUGUAUGAAAAUAAAAAAUAAAAUUUGUUUGUGCAUCCGGUUCGAAUCGGACCCGCUUUAAUUUUGGAUACCGCUUUAAUAAAUUUUGGAUACGGCUUUAAUUUAAUUAUCCGUGGACCCCGCUUUGUAUUUUUUAACGUUAUUUCAUUAUCGUGAUUUGGACGAAUCGUUCCAUGCACCAUUUCGUAUACUUUACAUAAAAAUACUAGUAAAUUUCAAUAUAAAAAUAAUUUUUAAGGAUAAAAUUCAUCUAUUUUCAGUGUAUGAGCCUGCCGAUCAGCCGAUCAACAUGCAAAGUAAUUAAUUAGUACUUACUAGUAUAUAAGAAAAAUCCGUUACAGUUGGUAAUAUUUUAUUAAUUAUUUUUUCUUAAUAAAUUGACACAAAUAUUUUUCAUUAAUACUCGGACCUUAUCCAUUGCGAUCUGCAGAACCCAUUUAAAGACUCGAGAAAUUGUUAGUCAAAGACCCUGAAAAGAGAAAAAUGGCGGAGUCAAAGACGAUAGGCGUUGUGGGUAGCGGCCAAAUGGGGUCGGGCAUCGCCCAACUUGCCGCCGUACAUGGGUUCGAUGUCUGGCUCCUAGACACGGAUCCUUCUGCUCUGUCUAGAGCUAGAAAAUCUAUCACCAAUAACAUCAAUCGACUCAUCUCCAAAGGGCAACUCUCUCAGGUCAAUCAAAUAACACAACUUUUUCUUUUUGCUGAUAUUUUCACCUUUUUUUUUUUUGGGAAAUCAAAUAUUAAUAGUGGAAUUAUGAAUUUUUUCUUAUUGAUAUGAUUGACUGUACUUGAGUUCUAAUUUUGAAGCCCUCAUCACCAAUUAUGCUUGCUGUGUUUAAGUACUAAUGAGUAAAAGGACUGUAGGAUUAGCAGAUGCCCAAUUACAGAAGUAACAAAGUAGGAGGAUCAUUAAUUUCCAGGGUGAAGUUUUUAAGUGUCACUUUGAAAAUUUUCACAUGGAGAUAUAUUUCUUUUGCUAUGUGUUGAUAUUUUCCUUUUCGUUUGAACUCUUUUAAUCAGACUCCAGCGGUGAAUUUAUUGAUAAACAACAAGAACCAAUUCAGACGUUUAACUACUGUUUUGAAGUUCUUAUGAUGAAAACAUGUGAAUCUCUGUUUAAAGUUAAACUUUAACUAUGUCUGAGCAACAUAUUUGUAUCUAAUGCUUCUAUCACUAGCAAUUCAAAGAGUAAAGCCAAACAGUUACUUAGUGCAAAAAGUUGGUAUAUCCUACCCCCUGACUAUAAAAUAUCAAUGUCUUUCUUCUUUCUUGGGCUGGAGGUAAGCAUUUAUAGCAUCCAUGUUACAUUUGGACCAUUUUUUUAAAAUAAAUCUGAAGAUAUUGUAUGAUUGAAUUGUAGAGGGUGCUUUCAUGUUCUGGUUAUCUAUGUUUUCUGUUAAACGAACCCCAAUGCUCGAUUAUGUGUGCAAUGGUAUGACAUUAGAAUAUGAGUAAUCGGAUAUAUAUUGCAUAAAGAGAUGGCGACCAUGUGUUGAUUGUAUUUGAAGUCUUUAAGUAGUAAAAUUAAGACCAUUUAGUUAGCCGUAGUGUAAAAAUAUAUUGGAUUACACUAUAUUAUGUUCCAUGAUGGCUUACCAAAUUAUCCCAAGUUAGCUGAGGAAUUGCCUCUGAGAUCAGGGCUUUCAUGGAAAGAGGGAGUAUUUUCCAAUACUUAGACAAUUAAGAUAGUGGAAACAUAAUUUUUGAGCAUUUCUAUUCUAUGAUAAAUUUUCAAACCUUUAGCAAGUUAAGUUUUGAGUAAAAUUUGUAUUAGGAAGAUGUUGAUAGGACUGGAGAGAUUAAACCCAUUUCCUUCAGACUUAAGUAAUUUUGCAAAUAAAGAUUUUGAGAAAGUAAACUCUGUUUCCUUUUCUUGUAAAUUCGCGUGAAUGAAUGCUAAAAGAUUCUGGCUUUUCCACUUGAUAGGCAGGUGGUCACGAUGCUUUAGGGCGUCUAAAUUAUACCACAGAUUUGGAAGAGCUGCAUAUGGCAGAUGUUGAAUUAUGAAUUUUUUCUUAUUGAUAUGAUUGACUGUACUUGAGUUCUAAUUUUGAAGCCCUCAUCACCAAUUAUGCUUGCUGUGUUUAAGUACUAAUGAGUAAAAGGACUGUAGGAUUAGCAGAUGCCCAAUUACAGAAGUAACAAAGUAGGAGGAUCAUUAAUUUCCAGGGUGAAGUUUUUAAGUGUCACUUUGAAAAUUUUCACAUGGAGAUAUAUUUCUUUUGCUAUGUGUUGAUAUUUUCCUUUUCGUUUGAACUCUUUUAAUCAGACUCCAGCGGUGAAUUUAUUGAUAAACAACAAGAACCAAUUCAGACGUUUAACUACUGUUUUGAAGUUCUUAUGAUGAAAACAUGUGAAUCUCUGUUUAAAGUUAAACUUUAACUAUGUCUGAGCAACAUAUUUGUAUCUAAUGCUUCUAUCACUAGCAAUUCAAAGAGUAAAGCCAAACAGUUACUUAGUGCAAAAAGUUGGUAUAUCCUACCCCCUGACUAUAAAAUAUCAAUGUCUUUCUUCUUUCUUGGGCUGGAGGUAAGCAUUUAUAGCAUCCAUGUUACAUUUGGACCAUUUUUUUAAAAUAAAUCUGAAGAUAUUGUAUGAUUGAAUUGUAGAGGGUGCUUUCAUGUUCUGGUUAUCUAUGUUUUCUGUUAAACGAACCCCAAUGCUCGAUUAUGUGUGCAAUGGUAUGACAUUAGAAUAUGAGUAAUCGGAUAUAUAUUGCAUAAAGAGAUGGCGACCAUGUGUUGAUUGUAUUUGAAGUCUUUAAGUAGUAAAAUUAAGACCAUUUAGUUAGCCGUAGUGUAAAAAUAUAUUGGAUUACACUAUAUUAUGUUCCAUGAUGGCUUACCAAAUUAUCCCAAGUUAGCUGAGGAAUUGCCUCUGAGAUCAGGGCUUUCAUGGAAAGAGGGAGUAUUUUCCAAUACUUAGACAAUUAAGAUAGUGGAAACAUAAUUUUUGAGCAUUUCUAUUCUAUGAUAAAUUUUCAAACCUUUAGCAAGUUAAGUUUUGAGUAAAAUUUGUAUUAGGAAGAUGUUGAUAGGACUGGAGAGAUUAAACCCAUUUCCUUCAGACUUAAGUAAUUUUGCAAAUAAAGAUUUUGAGAAAGUAAACUCUGUUUCCUUUUCUUGUAAAUUCGCGUGAAUGAAUGCUAAAAGAUUCUGGCUUUUCCACUUGAUAGGCAGGUGGUCACGAUGCUUUAGGGCGUCUAAAUUAUACCACAGAUUUGGAAGAGCUGCAUAUGGCAGAUGUUGUUAUUGAAGCUAUUGUGGAAUCUGAAGAUGUGAAGAAAAAGUUAUUUCUUGCACUAGAUAAGAUUGUUAAAAGUUCUGCUAUUUUGGCUUCUAAUACAAGUUCCAUCUCCAUAACUCGUCUGGCAUCUACAACUAGCAGACCAGGCCAGGUUAUUUCUUUAUUUCUUCUUUUGGCCUGAAUUUAUGCUUGGAGUGUCUAAUAAUAAAAUUACAAAAUUCGGACAAAUUACAAAAGUCUCAUAUAAUUGCAUUUGAUUCAACUGUUAAUGAACUCAGAAAUUUCUGUUUUCUUUUUCAUCACCUCUUUUUUUUUUAACAAUUUGGGAUUCUGACUCGGUCAAAAACUCAAAGUAAUGCAUCAUCUGCAGGUAAUCGGCAUGCAUUUUAUGAAUCCUCCUCCCAUAAUGAAAUUGGUCGAAAUUGUGCGUGGUGCGGGCACAUCAGAUGAGACAUUUUAUGCAACCAAGUCAUUGGCUGAGAGGUGACAGAAAAUACACUCUUUGUGCAAUGUAGUUGCUGUUCAAAUGAUAAUCAGUUUUCUUAGCCAUUUAUGUGUCUGUAAUCCAAAAUAAUUAUUUUAUUCAAAACAAAACUAUUGAAUAUAUUCGAAUAGUGUUCCAUUAUGCGAAUGCGAAUGAAAUCCUCUUUUUAGCUUUUAUUAAAAAAAUUUCUCUUAUUUAGAUUUUAUUGUAAUUGUAAUCCACCAUCUAUUAACAUCAAUGGCUGUCAAAUUCUGCAGGCUUGGCAAGACAGUUAUAUGCUCUCAAGAUUUUUCCGGCUUCAUUGUAAACCGGAUUCUAAUGCCAAUGAUAAAUGAAGCAUUUCAUACUCUGUAUACAGGAGUGGCAACGAAGGAGGAUAUUGACACUGGAAUGAAGUUAGGCACAAACCACCCGAUGGGUCCUUUGGAGCUUGCAGAUUUUAUUGGAUUGGAUGUCUGCCUGUCAAUAAUGAAAGUUCUUCAUGCUGGCUUAGGCGACAGUAAAUAUGCUCCCUGUCCUCUUCUUGUGCAGUAUGUUGAUGCAGGUCGUCUUGGACGAAAAUGUGGUAUUGGGGUAUAUGAUUAUGGUAGAGCAUCUGCACAAGUAAUACCAUCUUCUCGGCUUUGAAAUUAGAUUGCUUUUCCAAAACUGGGGCAUAUAUUGCAAUUCUUUGUAUCAUGUUGCUCACCUUGGGAGGCAAUUCUGUAACAAAUUAGUAUCAGUUGCCUCGGGAGACACUCUCAUAAAUUGAGAAUAUAUUCUGUACUAAAAAGAAAGAUUGUGCUUGAAGGGAUAAUUUUUGCAGAAUUUAUUCUGUUCAAAGUUUUUGAUGCUUACACUUUUGAAUGUAAUGAAAUGAAUCUUAAUAGUAGUAAAUGGUGGAUGAUAACAGCAGUCUUUUCAAAUUAUUGGGGCAAUGUGCGUGUGUGUAUGUGCCUUUGAAAUCAAAAGAAAGCUACAAAAUCUGCAAUAGUAACAUGAUUAGAGACCUUUUGUUUAGGGUAGUGAAUCUCCACAUCAAUCCUCUUCAAAAACCAGUCCUUUUACGGGCAAUAGCAAUAGUGAAAGUUGCAUUCUAGAUUGAAAUUCACAUGCUUUCAUUUCCUUUUCUUUGUUAACAUUUAAAGCAAAGUCAAAUAAUAAUAGAAAAUAGAUAUCAUCAGCAUCUUGCUUGUGCAAGAAAAAAAAAAAAGGAUUGCGAAAAUCUGACACCAAAUUAUUACUGGAUUAAAAUUCUCAUGAUGAAAUUAACCUUAGGUUAAUUAAAUGAAGGCAAUUCAAGUAUACUGUCAAAGAUUGAGAGUUAAGAGUUUGUUUAUUGAAACAUGAAGUUAGAGACAUUUAGUUAUGUUUUAUAAUUACUUCGACAUAAGAAAGGAAAAACAAGAUUUGCGAGGUAAAUUUUCUGUUAUGUUAUGUAUUGCUUGCCAGCUGGGAAUCUUUAAUGUGAGACAAAGAAAUCAAAAAGGAGCCUCUAAAUUUCAACAAAGUGACCAAACAUGACCCACAAAGAAGAGCCGAUUAAGAGUAUUAAGUUCAUUGUUUCUCAUAUCCAACCCCACCACCAUUCCUCAUUCUAAAGCUGGCAUUAUUACGCCAUGCAUUUUCUAUAUUGAAAGUGAUUGAAUUGGAAUCCAAUGGAUUAUUAAAAAUUAAAAAAAAUGAACAACAUUAUUUGAUAAGAAAUAAAAAAAAAGGUAUAAUCCAAAAAAAAAAAAAAGAAACAAAAAAGAAGAUAAAAAGGCAUAGGAAAGCUAAAACUUUCCCUACUUUACAAGGUAGACUUGAGAGUUGAGAGUAUAGAGAGAGAGAGAGAGAGAGAGAGCAGGGUUAAGUAAUGAAGUUCUUGUUUCAGUGUCCUUGUUGCUCAUGUUUUUGCUUUGUGAAGCCCAAGAAGGGAAAACCAAAGCCGAAGGAAGCUAAAGUAGAGGACUCCAAGGAAGAGAAAAAAGAGUGAUAAAAAAUUGCAAAUGCUGCAUUGCUGAUGCAAAAUGGGUAUUUGGGUGCUCAAGUAAUUGUUUGUAUGUACAAUUUUCUUUCUAUUUCAUGUGAAAUGCUUCCAUCUUUAAUUGCUUUCCAUGGAAAAUAAGGUGUCACAUUACUUUUAUUUUACAAAAUCUCAUAAAAUGUAUGAGAUAUCAAGCUCAUAUCUAGUUUCUGCUUAUUUUGCUUCAAAGCUUGCAUAUAGUCAUUUUGUCUCUUGCCCCUAUAGUGGAAAAUGUGAAUGAGCCUAUCUUUAGUGAGGAUUGAAGCAUUCUACAACAUUUGGCUUUGCCCUCCUUUUUUUUUUUUUUUUUUGGUACAGAAGGGGAUGGCUUUGCACUUGUUUAUUAAUUGAUUUGGUUUAUUUUGGGAUUUGAACUCAUAAAUUCAUAGCUUUUUUACAAUUUUAAUAAUUAAAACUUAAAGAUCCAAUCAUCUUAUUUUAUGUGAUUUUAACAUUGGUUUUAUCAAUUAUUUCUUACAAAUUUUCUAAUUCUAUUAGCUGCAAAAACCUACUAAAAUGUUAGUAACUCUAAUUGAUUGCUGAUGAAGACCAGUGCUUGUUCAAGCACAAAAUGGAAAGGCAUCAAUUCUGUUUAAUUUAGAUCUGCUAAUUCUGAUGAAAUAUGCCAAUUAGGUGUGGUAGUGGGAGGUCUCGAGUUCGAGUUCUCUCGACCACAAGUGUUUUCUCUAACUUGGUGAGUGUUAU
rnacentral:lncRNA from 1 species